rnacentral:rRNA from 1 species
AGGAUGAACGCUGGCGGCGUGCCUAACACAUGCAAGUCGAACGUCCUGUCUCGCAAGAGGCAGGGAGUGGCGGACGGGUGAGUACCACGUGGGUUAUCUACCGUGAGGUGAGGAAUACCGGCGAGAAAUCGCCGACAAAACCGCAUAGGCUCGAUGCAAGUCGAGCAAAGCUUUCUCGCAAGAGGGAGCGCCACACGAGGAGCCUGCGCCCGAUUAGCUGGCUGGUGGAGUAAUGGUUCACCAGGGCGACGAUCGGUAGCUGGUCUGAGAGGACGAUCAGCCACACUGGGAUUGAGAACGGCCCAGACUCCUACGGGGGGCAGCAGUGAGGAAUUUUCGUCAAUGGGGGCAACCCUGAACGAGCAACGCCGCGUGCAGGAAGAAGGUUUUCGGAUCGUAAACUGCUUUUCUCGGGGAAGAGAACGGACGGUACCCGAGGAAGAAGCCCCGGCUAACUACGCGCCAGCAGCCGCGGUAA